rnacentral:misc_RNA from 1 species
UCCGAGUUGACCCCGGCAGUCUCCUACGAGUCCCCACCAUAACGUGCUGGCAACAUAGGACAAGGGUUGCGCUCGUUGCGGGACUUAACCCAACAUCUCACGACACGAGCUGACGACAACCAUGCACCACCUGUGUAGAACCCCGAAGGACACCGUAUCUCUACGGCUUUUCUCUACAUGUCAAACCCAGGUAAGGUUCUUCGCGUUGCCUCGAAUUAAGCAACAUGCUCCGCUGCUUGUGCGGGCCCCCGUCAAUUCCUUUGAGUUUUAGCCUUGCGGCCGUACUCCCCAGGCGGGGCACUUAAUGCGUUAGCGACGGCACGGAGUCCGUUGAAUAGACCCCACACCUAGUGCCCAACGUUUACGGCGUGGACUAC